rnacentral:piRNA from 1 species
AGGAUGCUCUGAAGGCCCAAGGCAU